rnacentral:lncRNA from 1 species
GUAGGGAGAAGGAGAUUUUGAAGGGUUUGCCCAGUAGAAGUCUUACAGGAUGAAUAAGAGCGAACAAGAAUAGGAAGGCCAUUCCAGGCCAAGCCAAAUCAAAGCACUAAGAAAAUGUGUUGUGUGCUGAGGGGCAUAGCAAUCUGAAGUUACUGGAAUAUAGCAGGUAAUAUGAAGAAUAGUGGGAAAUAAGUCAACAGAUAGAUACUUGCAAGUUCAUAGAGAGUUUGUCCCUUAGUGUGGGAGUAGUGCCUGGAAUCGAUGUAAAGUAAUAUGAUCUGCAGUCAUUGUUUGGUUACCUUAUAAUUAUUGCAAAGUAGAUUUGUUUAUAUUUUCCCAGCCUUUCAUCACCACUGACUCCUUUCAUACAAAAUUAAAGUAAACAUAUAAAACAUGGACAAUUCUUCAACAUUCUUUUAAAGAGAGCUAUCAUUAUCAUGGAAGCUUUUAAUGUUUUUAAGCUGAAGACAAAAAAAAUUAAAAAUAUGAGUGAAUAUUCCUAACAGCAGAGGUGAUUUUUUUUCAUGCCUGCAGCAUGGAGGAAUGAAUUUCAACUUAGCAAAUACAAUGUAAGAAAGUGGUAUCCACACAAUGAGUUGCUAUGGAAAUGAACUGAGAGGACAGCAUGGCAGAAAAGAAAACACAGACUUCCCAGCUUCAAGUCCCAAUUCUGCAUCUUUCCAGAUUGGCUUCAUUCUUUAAUUUCGAUAUGGACUCACUUACAAAUGGACCACCUGACUACUGUCAUCACAAGUUCCCCGGGGAAGAGAACCUAAUUAGAAGAGACAAGCUCUCUAGAGGAGAUUGUCUCUCUGUCCAGUGAGUGUUGGUCAUUUGUGUUAUGGAAAUAGUGCACAAUGAGGGUCAUGACAAUAGUCUACACCAAGGAAUGGUAAAUUUUUCUCUGUAAAGGGGCUGAUAUGGACCCGGUGGGAGGUAAUUGAAUCAUUGGGGCAUGUCUUUGCUGUGCUGUUCUCAUGAUAGUGAAUAAGGCUCACGAAACAUGAUGGUUUUAAAAAGAGGAGUUUCCUUGAACAAGCUCUCUUUGCCUGUUACCAUCCAUAUAAGAUGUGACUGGUUUCUCCUUGCCUUCUGCCAUGAUUGUGAGGCUUCUCCAGCUACAUGGAACUGUGAGUCCUCCAUUUAACCUCUUUCCUUUGUAAAUUGCCAAUUUGUAAAUUGUGCGAAUAAAUCUUUAUUUACAAAAAUAGGGAUGGGGCAGGAUUGGUUCCUCAUGCUGUCAUUUGCUGACCCCUAGUCUACAACUACACUAUGAGCAGAAAAGACUAUUUAACAAAGGGGUGGGGCAAGUUGGAGGGGGUAAUCAUCUCCAGUAUUCUCACCAAGCACUGAAUAUUGGAAGCAGAGGCCUUUCAUGUAUGGGGAAACCUAAAGCAUGACUGCAAGUGAUAAAGCAUUCACAUCAUGUUCAGAGAACAGUUCUCAUUCUAUCAACAGAAUUUCACCCUCAGGAACAUGCCUGCCUUCCCUCAGGAUAAGUAGGGAAGGGAGAGCUCAGAAAAAAGAGGACAGUUCAGCCAACUGAGUUGGAAUAGAGAGAUUCAUAACAUUGUAGGGAGGGCAGGUUUUCAGAAAUAUAUGCCUAAUGAUCUCAUAUCUAGUUAUAGCCCUGCUGGGAAUUGUACAUUGUAGGGAACACGGUAGAGCAAUGCACAAGGUGAAGUUGGAAACAAGGCAGUAGGCAAUUUUAAAGUCCCAUUUUGAGCUAGGAAGAAAAAGGGGAUAUAAAUAUUGCAUGAAGUAGUGUCUUAAAAUCCUAUUCUAUCCAUUUCAGCAAACUAGAUACUCAGUGUUUAAUAGCACCUGAAGCCAGCUAUAAUAAGGAUGAAGGAAAGAUAUGUGCACCAGUGGAGUAGCCACCUCAACAGCACCGAUAAUACCAAGAGCUAAAAGGUCGUGUUUGUUUAAUGCUUUCCAUAAGCAACUGGUCUGACCAAAAGAAUUCUGCAGGAAUGAUUAAGCUUUCUUUAGCGCUUAUUGUAGCCUAGAUAUGGUCAGCAAGACCGAGCUCUGCAAUCAGUAGAACGGGACAAUCACAGAUAGGUUUCAGUGACCUCUCUUGGCAGCAAUUUUCCUCUCUGCCCUCACUGGCUUCAAUAGAUUCCCUGGUUUGCAGUUAUUACCUUGGCAGGACUGUUCUGCCCCUCUCUGUCAUGUAAGAUAGCCUGGGAUAAAAAGGGAGAUGGCAACAACUGAAGCAGGUGGAUACUAGAGGGGUUAUUAAAAUACUGAGUACUUGAUAUUUUAAAAUAAAAAAUUAAAAGCAAAUGGUUUCCAAAUACCUGCCAACCUUGGAGAUAUUGGGGAUUUGUUUCGAGACUAAUGCAAUAAAGCAAAUAUCAAAAUAAAGCAAGUCACAUUAAUUUUUAGUUUUUCAGUGCAUAUAAUAGUUAUGUUUCUCUAUAUAGUAUAUAUAUAUAUAAUGAAUAUACAAUAGUCUUUUAAGUAUGCAACGGUAUUAUGUAUAAAAAACAAUGUCCAUACCUUAAUUAAAAACACUUUAUUGCUAAAAUAUGCUAACAAUCAUCUGAGCCUUCAGCAAGGCAUAAUCUUUUUGCUAGCAAAUGGUCUUGCUCGAUGUUGACAGCUGCUGACUGAUCAGGGUGGUGGUUGCUGAAGGCUGGGGUGAUUGUGACAAUUUCUUAAGAUAAAACAACAAUGAAAUUUGCUACAUUGACUGACUCUUCCUAUCAUGAAAGAUUUCUCUGCAGCAUACAGGGCUAUUUGACAGCGUUUUAUGCACAGCAGAACUUUUGCAACUGGAUUCAAUCUUCUCAAAACGUGUUGCUGCUUUAUCAAGUGAGUUUAUGAACUAUUAUAAAUCCUUUGCUGUCAUUUCAACAAUAUUCACAGCAUCCUUACUAGGAAUAGAUUUAUUCUGAAGAAACCACUUUCUUUUCUCAUCCAUAAGAAACAACUCCCCCCAUUCAUUCAAGUUUGAUCAUGACAUUACAACAACCCAGUCACAUCUUUGGGCUCCACUUCUAAUUCUAAUUCUCUUGCUAUUUUCAUCACAUUGGCACUUACUUUCUUCUCUGAAGUCUUGAACCCCCUAACGUCAUCCAUCAGGGUUGGAAUCAACUUCUUCCAAACUCCAAUUAAUAUUGAUAUUUUGACCUCCUCUCAUGAAUCAAAAAUAUCCUAAUAGCAUCUAGAAUGGUGAAUCCUUUCCAGAUGGUUUUUAAUUUACUUUGCUUAAAUCCAUCAGAGGAAUUACUAUCUAUGGCUGCUAUAGUGUUAACAAAGGUAUUUCUUGAAUAAUAAGACUUGAAAGACAAAAUUACUCCUUAAUCCAUGGGCUACAGAGUGAAUGUGCUGUUAGCAGGCAUGAAAACAAGAGUAAUCUUCUGUGCAUCACAAUCAGAGCUUUUGAGUGACUAGGUGCAUUGUCAAUGAGCAGUAAUAUUUUGAAAAGAAUCUUUUUUCUGAGUAGUGUAUCUCAACUGGGGACUUAAAAUAUUCAGUACACCACACUAUGAAGAGAUGUGCUCUCGCCAAGAUUUGUUCCAUUUAUAGAGCAAAGGUGGAGUAGAUUUAGCAUAAUUCUUCAAAGCUCUAGGAUUUUAGGAAUGGUAAAUGAACACUGGCUUUUAAAGUCACUAGUUGUGUUAGCCCCUCACAAGAAAGUCAGCCUGUCCCUUUGAUGCUUUGAAGCUGGUCAUUACUUUCUCCUCUCUAAGCUAUGAAAGUCCUACAUGGCAUCUUCUUGCAAUAGAAGGCUGCUCCAAACUUUUCUUCUGCAACUUCCUCACCUCUCUCAGUCUUCGUGGAACUGAGGUGAGUUAAGGCCUUGCUCUGCACUAGGCUUUGGCUUAAUGAAAUGUUGUGGCUGGUUUGAUGUUCUGUCCAGACCACUAAAAACAUUUUUCAUAUCAGCAAUAAGCCUGUUUCACUUCCUUAUUUAUGUGUUCACUGGAGUAACACUUUUAACUUCCUUCAAGAACUCUUCCUUUGCAUUCACAAUUUUGCUAACUAAUUGGUGCAAUAGGCCUAGCUUUUAGCCUAUCUCAGCUUUGUUUUUUUUUUUUUUUUUUUUUUCUUUUCUUCCAGCCUGUGUUGCCCAGGCUGGAGUGCUGUGCAGCCUCAAAUUUCUGGGCUCAAGCAAUCCCCCCACCUCACUCUCCAGAGUAGCUGGGACUAUAGGCACACACCACCACACCCAGCUAAAUUUUUUAUUUUUUAACAAAGACUGAGUCUCACUACUUUGCUCAGGCUGGUCUCAAACUCCUGGUCUCAAGCA